rnacentral:rRNA from 1 species
GACGAACGCUGGCGGCGUGCUUAACACAUGCAAGUCGAACGAUGAAGAAGAGAAACGCGAACUUCGGUUCAAAUUUCACUUCGGAUUAGUGGCAGACGGGUGAGUAACGCGUGAGCAACCUACCUCUUACAAAGGGAUAGCCUCGGGAAACCGUGAUUAAUACCAUAUGACACAUUCAUAAGGCUUCUUAAGAAUGUUAAAGCUACGGCGGUAAGAGAUGGGCUCGCGUCCCAUUAGCUAGUUGGUGAGGUAACGGCCCACCAAGGCGACGAUGGGUAACCGGGCGGAGAGGGGGAACGGUCACAUUGGAACUGAGACACGGUCCAAACUCCUACGGGAGGGAGCAGAGGGGAAUAUUGCACGAUGGAGGGAACUCUGAUGCAGCGACGCCGCGUGAGCGAUGAAGGAAGUCGUUUCGUAAAGCUCUGUUCUAUGGGAAGAAAAGGACGGUACCAGAGGAGAAAGCCCCGGCUAAAUACGUG